GUUCUGCUGGGAUAGCUUAGUUGAUAGAGCAUGAGACUCUUCAUCUCAGGGUGAUGAGUUUAAGCCCAAUGUUGAACA